AUUGAACGCUGGCGGCAGGCUUAACACAUGCAAGUCGAGCGGGGAAGGGUAGCUUGCUACCUAACCUAGCGGCGGACGGGUGAGUAAUGCUUAGGAAUCUGCCAUUUAGUGGGGGACAACAUUCCGAAAGGAAUGCUAAUACCGCAUACGUCCUACGGGAGAAAGCAGGGGAUCUUCGGACCUUGCGCUAAAUGAUGAGCCUAAGUCGGAUUAGCUAGUUGGUGGGGUAAAGGCCUACCAAGGCGACGAUCUGUAGCGGGGCUGAGAGGAUGAUCCGCCACACUGGGACUGGGACACGGCCCAGACUCCUACGGGAGGCAGCAGUGGGGAAUAUUGGACAAUGGGCGAAAGCCUGAUCCAGCCAUGCCGCGUGUGUGAAGAAGGCCUUUUGGUUGUAAAGCACUUUAAGCGAGGAGGAGGCUACUAGUACUAAUACUACUGGAUAGUGGACGUUACUCGCAGAAUAAGCACCGGCUAACUCUGUGCCAGCCGCCGCCGUAA
rnacentral:rRNA from 1 species